rnacentral:lncRNA from 1 species
GAACCACGUGUGCCUGUGACGCCAUCAGAGCAGGUCACGUGACGGCCUAUCCUGGCUCUGGUUUCAGGUCUAACAAAGCAGGUCCUUGAGUUUAAGGAGUUGACACCUCUAGUCAUACAUUAUUCUUUUGGUCCCAAAGUACUGGGGCUUUGCAUAAGGAGACAUUGUGGAAGGAGCCGCUUGCGUUCUGAGUCUUUUAAAACGGAACAACAAAAAAAAAAAUCUGGACUUAAUUCUGUGUUUCAAGUGGCUUAGCAACUCUGAACCCAGCGUCUCGGUGCAUCCUGCUAAUCCCACCAUUCGGAGAGUGGAAAGAAUCAGGAGUGUAAGGCUA